CUUAAUAUCAGUCAUCAUACAUCAAGCUAAACCUCUAUUGGAAUCGUAGAAACCUAAUCCUUAAUCUCACCAAUAGUAAAACCUCUCCUAACAUAAGAAAAAAAUUACGAAGAAAUAGAGUUUCUACAAAUUCAACAAUGUCCACAAAGACCCUGCUUCUAGUUUUUCUAGUCGUUGUUCUCGCUGCAAAAUUGACAUUUUCGCUUCCGAUGAGCAUCAUUGAUUCUAAGACAUCAAAUAACAUCGUUUCCGAAGGACAUGAGGUGCGAAAUUUUGUGGACGAUUCGACAUGCAACUGGCAUUGCCAACGCCUUAGAAAUUGUGCUGCUCUGCAGUUUAUCAUUCAAACUCUAAACUGCAACCCUGCUCCUGCUGGGUGUUCCUGCUGAACAGAAUGCGUCUCUAAAUUAAGCAUGCCUGAAAUCUUCAUUGUGCCAUAAUAGUAAUGUGUAUAUGAUAUAGUAUCAAGAUUCCUAAACUUUUUAGCUUGUUUCCGUGGAGGAAAUGUAUUAGGAUUAUGUAAUACAUGCCAUGUUUAACCUUUUAAAAACGGAUUCCACCAAUAAGGUGGAGGGCGAUUUCGAUCUCUUGGCGACGGACUACACCAAUAAGGUGUAGGCCAAAUUUUUCGCCUUA